GUCAGCACCCCGCUCUAAAGAGACGGGGCAUCAUGCUUCUCUUUUUAGGUAGCUGACCAGCCUAAGUCCCUUGAGGACUACGUUAUCNAGCACCCCGCUCUAAAGAGACGGGGCAUCAUGCUUCUCUUUUUAGGUAGCUGACCAGCCUAAGUCCCUUGAGGACUACGUUAUCGGUGAAAAAAAACUGUAAACUUUAGGGGUAAUUGAUCAAUUACCCCUACAACACUGGUU
rnacentral:sRNA from 20 species